GGUACUGCAUCAGUUUCUGAAAAUCAGGAUGCGACUUCGCUGUUGUAAGGUCCUGUUGAUGAGUCCAAAAAUCACCUCCCUGAUAUUCUCUAUGUUAUCCAGGUACUGUAUUUGCAUACGGUGUCACUAGCAGUGGGAAGACUCAUACAAUGCAUGUAAGUUGCUGUACUAGUUUUACGUUUGGUGCUUGUUUCCUCACCCAAAAAGGAUGUGUGCACUAGACAGUAAAAGGAGAAAGGGCAACUUAUUCCUCCCAAAUUUAUAUAAUUAAUGGGAGGAUUUUUUAUGUGAAACCAAGCUUGGGGCUGAGCAUUAAUAAAAGCCAUCUGACAAACUACGUGCCACACAUUGGUUGGUCCAAGAAUAUAUUUAGCAUGAGUUUUAGAAAAAAUUGUUUAUCUGAGAUUUGGUUUCAACAAUUUGAUUAUUAUGAUUUGAUUGAGGGAUCUUUAUGCUUUUGUGGAGAUCUAUGACAACAUCAUCUGUAGCCUCAUUUCUUGUGUAGCUUGUAGUUUCUCAUCUAGCUUAUGGCUCAUAUACCUCUACAUCUUUGGGACGCAAGUUGUAUGAUGUCUGAGAUUUGACUGCUUGCAAAUAUAUUUAUUGUCCUUGAGGAUUGAUGUCAUUUUGGAGGCAACAUGGCUCUGGGCACUGCCAAUUAACUAGAAAAUUUCUCUAAAAUAUUACAAGCUGAUGUAAUAAUCUGCUUGAGAGAAUAAUUUUUGACAUCAUAAAGAAAAACUUUUUUGAUUUUUCCAACUAAAUGUCUGUCCACAAAACUACAUUAAGGCAAGAUGGAAAAUGUCACUUCAUUGACUGAU